AGUAACGCGUGAGGAACCUGCCUUCCAGAGGGGGACAACAGUUGGAAACGACUGCUAAUACCGCAUGAUGCGUUGGAGCCGCAUGACUCUGACGUCAAAGAUUUAUCGCUGGAAGAUGGCCUCGCGUCUGAUUAGCUAGUUGGUGAGGUAACGGCCCACCAAGGCGACGAUCAGUAGCCGGACUGAGAGGUUGGCCGGCCACAUUGGGACUGAGAUACGGCCCAGACUCCUACGGGAGGCAGCAG
rnacentral:rRNA from 1 species